rnacentral:rRNA from 1 species
GACGAACGCUGGCGGCGUGCCUAAUACAUGCAAGUAGAACGCUGAGGUUUGGUGUUUACACUAGACUGAUGAGUUGCGAACGGGUGAGUAACGCGUAGGUAACCUGCCUCAUAGCGGGGGAUAACUAUUGGAAACGAUAGCUAAUACCGCAUAAGAGUAAUUAACACAUGUUGGUUAUUUAAAAGGAGCAAUUGCUUCACUGUGAGAUGGACCUGCGUUGUAUUAGCUAGUUGGUGAGGUAAAGGCUCACCAAGGCGACGAUACAUAGCCGACCUGAGAGGGUGAUCGGCCACACUGGGACUGAGACACGGCCCAGACUCCUACGGGAGGCAGCAGUAGGGAAUCUUCGGCAAUGGACGGAAGUCUGACCGAGCAACGCCGCGUGAGUGAAGAAGGUUUUCGGAUCGUAAAGCUCUGUUGUUAGAGAAGAACGUUGGUAGGAGUGGAAAAUCUACCAAGUGACGGUAACUAACCAGAAAGGGACGGCUAACUACGUGCCAGCAGCCGCGGUAAUACGUAGGUCCCGAGCGUUGUCCGGAUUUAUUGGGCGUAAAGCGAGCGCAGGCGGUUCUUUAAGUCUGAAGUUAAAGGCAGUGGCUUAACCAUUGUACGCUUUGGAAACUGGAGGACUUGAGUGCAGAAGGGGAGAGUGGAAUUCCAUGUGUAGCGGUGAAAUGCGUAGAUAUAUGGAGGAACACCGGUGGCGAAAGCGGCCCUCUGGUCUGUAACUGACGCUGAGGCUCGAAAGCGUGGGGAGCAAACAGG